rnacentral:rRNA from 1 species
GACAGAGGGUGCAAACGUUGUCCGGAAUUACUGGGCGUAAAGCGUGCGCAGGCGGUUAUGCAAGACAGAUGUGAAAUCCCCGGGCUUAACCUGGGAACCGCAUUUGUGACUGCAUAGCUGGAGUACGGCAGAGGGGGAUGGAAUUCCGCGUGUAGCAGUGAAAUGCGUAGAUAUGCGGAGGAACACCGAUGGCGAAGGCAGUCCCCUGGGCCUGUACUGACGCUCAUGCACGAAAGCGUGGGGAGCAAACAGG